rnacentral:rRNA from 1 species
GACGAACGCUGGCGGCGUGCUUAACACAUGCAAGUCGAACGGAAAGGCCCUGCUUUUGUGGGGUUCUCGAGUGGCGAACGGGUGAGUAACACGUGAGUAACCUGCUCUUGACUUUGGGAUAACUUCAGGAAACUGGGGCUAAUACCGGAUAGGAGCUCCUGCUGCAUGGUGGGGGUUGGAAAGUUUCGGCGGUUGGGGAUGGACUCGCGGCUUAUCAGCUUGUUGGUGGGGUAGUGGCUUACCAAGGCUUUGACGGAUAGCCGGCCUGAGAGGGUGAACGGCGACAUUGCGACUGAGAUACGGACCAGAGUCGUACGUGAGGCAGCAGUGGGGAGUAUUGCACAGUGGGCGGGAGCCUGAUGCAGAAGCGCCGCGUGCGGGAUGACGGCCUUCGGGUUGUGAACCGCUUUAGCCUGUGACGAAGCGGGAGUGACGGUAAUGGGUAAAGAAGCACCGGCUAACUACGUG